AUUGAACGCUGGCGGCAUGCCUUACACAUGCAAGUCGAACGGUAACGCGGGGCAGCCUGGCGACGAGUGGCGAACGGGUGAGUAACGCAUCGGAACGUGCCCAAUAGUGGGGGAUAGCCUGGCGAAAGCCGGAUUAAUACCGCAUACGACCUACGGGUGAAAGCAGGGGAUCGCAAGACCUUGCGCUAAUCGAGCGGCCGAUGUCAGAUUAGGUUGUUGGUGGGGUAAAAGCCCACCAAGCCGAAGAUCUGUAGCUGGUCUGAGAGGACGACCAGCCAAACUGGGACGGAGACACGGCCCAGACUCCUACGGGAGGCAGCAGUGGGGAAUUUUGGACAAUGGGCGCAAGCCUGAUCCAGCCAUGCCGCGUGCGGGAUGAAGGCCUUCGGGUUGUAAACCGCUUUUGUUAGGGAAGAAAUCUUUUGAGCUAAUACCUCGGAAGGAUGACGGUACCUAAAGAAUAAGCACCGGCUAACUACGUGCCAGCCGCCGCCGUAAUAC
rnacentral:rRNA from 1 species